ACCUAAAGAAGCAAGGGUGGUCGUGAGGGUGGGACUAGAGAAGCCACGGAGAGCCGGAAAUAGCCGAAGCGCUUCGGAAUUGGAGAAACUUGGGGAUUUGAGACAAUCCGGAAAGAGCCGAAGCCAGUGAAGGGAUCCCGAUGGAGAUUGAACCCGAAGACUGAAGGCUCCGUUGGCUUAAGGUCAUUUGCUUGGGAUCAAGAUAUGGAGAAAAGGCGAAGUUGGCCAUGCUUGCCUCUAAGCAUACAGGAAACCCAAAGCUUCAUCCACAGCACCGCAUCGUACGGUUGCAGUGGCCCCGGCGGUCUCAGUGGGGAGGCAAAAGGAUGAGAAACGCAAGGUCAUCCUGACCUCGUGAUGGAAGGAGAACCGACUCCCGAAAAAUGCCACAUCCUCUAACCUUAUGCAAGAAUACAGAGAAAGAGGAGAUAAUGGUGCAGGCAGGGACAAGGAGAAAAGAGGUCCAAAGUGAGGAAAUUAGCUCAUUUCAUUCAACCCUUGCUGAAGCGCGGAUGGCUUUGGUUCUCAAAAGAAAAAAUUGUAGCGGGGGUGGAAAGUCCGAAGACUGGGCCUUGUCAGGAAAACAAAAAAACCACAAAAACUGUAACUCACCUAUAUGCAUGUGGAGGUGGGGUGACAUAAAACUCAGUUCUGAUAAACUAAGGAGCCUGCUUGCUAGAGCCUCCUUAGUUAAUAAAAAAGCCAGGACAAGCUUUCCGUGUAUACGUAGCUCUGAGUGUCCUGGAUCUCCUUUUGUAGAACAGUCUGGCCUCCAACUCACACAGAUCUGCCUUUGUCUGCCUCCCAAAUAAACGCUGGGAUUAAAGGCGUGUGCCGCACCUACCAGCUGAGCCUCCGGAUUUUUAACCAAGCUGUCAGAAUGUGAUUCUUUUAAAAAUAUAUUUAUGUAUAUGA